UGAGGAAUAUUGCGCAAUGGGCGAAAGCCUGACGCAGCGACGCCGCGUGGAGGAUGAAGGUCUUCGGAUUGUAAACUCCUGUUAAGUGGGAAGAAAAGCUUAUCUCUAAUACAGGUAAGUAUGACGGUACCGCUAAAGAAAGCACCGGCUAACUUCGUGCCAGCAGCCGCGGUAAUACGAGGGGUGCAAACGUUAUUCGGAAUGACUGGGCGUAAAGGGUGCGUAGACGGCGCAUUAAGUUUGCUGUUAAAUUCUUCAGCCUAACUGAAGAUCAGCGGUGAAAACUGGUGUGCUAGAGGUUGGAAGAGAGAAGUGGAAUUCUCGGAGUAGCGGUAAAAUGCGUAGAUCUCGAGAGGAACACCGAUGGCGAAAGCAGCUUCUUGGUCCAAUCCUGACGUUGAGGCACGAAAGCGUGGGGAGCAAACAGG
rnacentral:rRNA from 1 species